CCUACGGGAGGCAGCAGUGGGGAAUAUUGGACAAUGGGCGAAAGCCUGAUCCAGCCAUGCCGCGUGUGUGAAGAAGGCCUUCGGGUUGUAAAGCACUUUCAGUGGGGAAGAAAGCCUUGGGGCUAAUACCCUCGAGGAAGGACAUCACCCACAGAAGAAGCACCGGCUAACUCCGUGCCAGCAGCCGCGGUAAUACGGAGGGUGCGAGCGUUAAUCGGAAUUACUGGGCGUAAAGCGCGCGUAGGCGGUCUGAUAAGCCGGUUGUGAAAGCCCCGGGCUCAACCUGGGAACGGCAUCCGGAACUGUCAUGCUAGAGUGCAGGAGAGGAAGGUAGAAUUCCCGGUGUAGCGGUGAAAUGCGUAGAGAUCGGGAGGAAUACCAGUGGCGAAGGCGGCCUUCUGGACUGACACUGACGCUGAGGUGCGAAAGCGUGGGUAGCAAACAGGAUUAGCUACCCCAGUAGUC
rnacentral:rRNA from 1 species